rnacentral:lncRNA from 1 species
CUGUGGGAGAGUUGUGGCAGAGUCAGGGUCCUGUGGGAGGGUCAGGGCAGAGUCAGGGUCCUGUGGGAGAGUCAGGGCAGAGUCAGGGUCCUGUGGGAGGGUCAGGGCAGAGUCAGGUCAGAGUCAGGGUCCUGUGGGAGAGUCAGGGCAGAGUCAGGGCAGAGUCAGGGCAGAGUCAGGGUCCUGGGGGGCGGUGGGGCAGAGUCGGGGUCCUGUGGGAGAGUCAGGGCAGAGUCAGGGCAGAGUCAGGGCAGAGUCAGGGCAGAGUCAGGGUCCUGUGGGAGAGACAGGGCAGAGUCGGGGUCCUGUGGGAGAGUCGGGGCAGAGUCAGGGUCCUGUGGGAGAGUCAGGGCAGAGUCAGGGUCCUUUGGGAGAGUCGGGGUAGAGUCAGGGUCCUGUGGGAGAGUCAGGGUCAGAGUUAGGGUCCUGUGGGAGAGUCAGGGCAGAGUCAGGGCAGAGAGUAGGGGAGAGACUGGGUACUGUGAGAGAGUUAGGGGAGAGACUGGGUCCUAUGAGAGUGGUAGAGUUAGGGGAGAGAGUAGGGGAGAAACUGAGUACUGUGGGAGUGGUAGAGUUAGGCGAGAGAGUAGGGGAAAAACUGGGUACUGUGGGAGUGGUAGAGUUAGGGGAGAGAGUAGGGGAGAGACUGGGUACUGUGUGAGUGGUAGAGUUAGGGGAGAGACUGGGUACUGUGGGAGUGGUAGAGUUAGGGGAGAGAGUAGGGGAGAAACUGGGUACUGUGAGAGUGGUAGAGUUAGGUGAGAGUGUAGGGGAGAGACUGGGUACUGUGGGAGAGUGUAGGGGAGAGACUGGGUACUGUGGGAGAGUGUAGGGGAGAGACUGGGUACUGUGGGAGUGGUAGAGUUAGGGGAGAGUGUAGGGGAGAGAUCAUGUGGGGAGACAAUGGGAGUGGCAGACUGUGGGAACCAUUUCUCCGCUGGGAACAAGAGACACUUCCACCUAGUCACCACACAGUCCCCAUUCACAGACACACAGUCCCCAUUCACUCACUGGCAGUUAGGGUUAGCUAUUGAAGGAGAGAGCCACGCUAUGCUAAAUAUGCAACCCACAAGGCAC